GUAUAAUACGCAUAACGCACUUUACCUGUGUACAGAGAAGAUUAGCAUGGCCCUUGCGCAAGGAUGACACGCAAAUUCGUGAAGCGUUCCAAAUUUUU
rnacentral:snRNA from 1 species